UGGAGCGAGGUGGCGGGCAGUGGUAAGAAGGAAAGGGACAGUCGGGUCGCGCGAGGAGGUGACUCCUGGCCUGACCUUCUCCUUGCCCCACCCCCGCUCUCAGUGGGAGGAGUUAAAGCUCCGGGUUGAGAGAGAAGCUCCGGAUCUUCGUCUGAGACAAGUCCACCAUUUUGCAGGAAAAUGGAUAAACAUAUUGUGACAUAGCUAUACAAUGGAAUACUACUCAUCAACCAAAAGGAAUGAGCUAUGGAUCCAUACAAAACAUGGAUGAGUCUUGAAAAUCUUAUAUUGAGCAAAAGAAGCCAGAUGCAAUGGAAUAUAUACUGCAUAAUUCCACUCUGUGAAGUUCAACAGGCAAACUAAGCUGUACUACUGAAGAGUGACCAGUGAGGUCCUCCUCUCUUCACACAUUUCUCAAGAGCAGACCUGUCUGUGAGGGCCACAUGUCUGAAGCCCUCGCCUUCACCACACAUGUAAAAGCUGAAGGAUUCCAUGAAAAGAAGAUUUUGUGUCAAAAAUAGACUUUCAAGGAACAAAGGAAAAGCUAUUUCCUGAACUGGGCAUAGGGGAGCAAUUCCUGGAAAGAUAAAUACUUGAAAACCUACUUUGAAUUUCGAAGGGCUGAGAAGGACUCCAGGUAAUAACAAUCUGCCUCUGCCUCAGUGGUCCAGGAGAAUUUCACUGCCCCUCAUUUGCCUUCAGUCCACCUCCUCCCACUGCAGAACCUCUGAAACCACUUUACAGACAAUCUCAGUUUCUACAGAAAAGAGAACAUGAAAUGACUUUCAGAUGCUCAACUGGUUAGAAUGUCAGAGGUGGCUGCUUGGAAAAGAAUGCAGAACAAAACAAAACUGAAAGCCCUAAGGAAGAAUUUCUAUAAAGCAAAUAUUUGUCUGUAACUGCUCACAGCAACCUGCAAUAAAGGCAUCUCCAAAAACAAAA